AGUCGUAACAAGGUAUCCGUAGGUGAACCUGCGGAUGGAUCAUUACCAAGGGAUUUUUUCCAUCUCUCCCACGUCAUGUGAAUAGUUUUGGGGGAUUUAGUAGUGUGUGUGUUUGUGUGGUGGGGGUGUUUUAGGUGAGUUUUGGGUUGACUGAAACAGGCCUAAGCCGCACCGCGCACACACACACACACACACACUGCUGUUAACCAAACGUAAUUCUUUUUUGAACUGAAGUCUCAGGAGAUUUAGUGAAAACUAAAAACAACUUUUAGCAACGGAUCUCUUGGCUCUC
rnacentral:misc_RNA from 1 species